AAAGAAAAAAAUAAUAAAAAAAGUACUGUUAAAUCUACUUUUUAUUUUUCCACUCACAUUUUAAUGAAAAUGUUAAAUCCCUAAUUGUUUCUCUCCCUCACCGCUUGGUCCUCCGUUUCUCUCUCCCCCAUUUUUCUCUCUGUUCCGUUUCAUCUCUCUCCUGACUUCUCCACCGUCGGCUACGUUGUUUCUUUCCUUCUCUCUCUCGGAAACCAGUCUCAAAUUAUUUGAAUCUCUCCCUCUCUCGACCACUCUCUCUCUCACUCUUCCCCAACCCAAAUCUUCUGUCACCUGCAAAUCCAAAUUGCAUAGCUGAAAUAACAAAAUCUCUCCUCACCCAAUUUCCCCUUUUACCCUCUUUGUCUAUUUCUGAUUUCCAUUUGCUUCCACUGUCAAUUUUGUACUCGGAAUUAAUUUCGAAUUAAUCAAUUUUCGAGCUAGGGUUCAUUUUUUUAUUUGGAAAAAAAAAAGAUUGGUUGCUAAUUCAUUUAUAUAUUUGGGCUGAUUAAUUAAUGGAGUCGAGUUUUGAUCGGUGGGAGAAAGAUCCAUUAUUUGGGCUGAUUAAAUAUGUUCAUCAGUUUGUGGAUUUUUCCAACAAAUUUUAAACUUUUUGACGUUUUGUUGCAAUUUUGCAUCUUUAAUUUGAUAGCUUCCAAAUUUGAAUCAAAUCUCGGCUUUAGGAGAGCAAUUUAAGAGAGAGAGAGAGGACAGGGGAAUCAGAAUCUUGGUUCGAUGCUGAGAAGCUCACCGUUGAAUUGAUGAAGCAGAUCUCUUGCUCUCUACAACUCUCCAACAAAACCAAUGACUAUGUAGCUUUCAAGGUUUUUAAUUUUCCCCCUUUUUCAGUUAAUUUCUGGAUUUGUUCUAUUUGGACAUUUGAGUUGUGGUGUAUAAAAGUUAUUUUAGGGAUUAUAGGGGAUGGAAAAUAAGAUGUUAAUUUUUUAA